GACGAACGCUGGCGGCGUGCUUAACACAUGCAAGUCGAACGCUGAAGACCUGGCUUUUGUUGGGUUGGAUGAGUGGCGAACGGGUGAGUAACACGUGAGUAACCUGCCCUCUUCUUUGGGAUAACGCCCGGAAACGGGUGCUAAUACUGGAUAUUCACUGAUCUUCGCAUGGGGGUUGGUGGAAAGGGUUGUUCUGGUGGGGGAUGGGCUCGCGGCCUAUCAGCUUGUUGGUGGGGUGAUGGCCUACCAAGGCUUUGACGGGUAGCCGGCCUGAGAGGGUGACCGGUCACAUUGGGACUGAGAUACGGCCCAGACUCCUACGGGAGGCAGCAGUGGGGAAUAUUGCACAAUGGGCGAAAGCCUGAUGCAGCGACGCCGCGUGAGGGAUGGAGGCCUUCGGGUUGUAAACCUCUUUCGCUCAUGGUCAAGCCGCAACUGUGGGUUGUGGUGAGGGUAGUGGGUAAAGAAGCGCCGGCUAACUACGU
rnacentral:rRNA from 1 species